rnacentral:sRNA from 1 species
UCGAGCCUCGCGAAGCGAGACAACGUUGCUUCAGCAACGGCCCGCAGGGCGCGCAUCCAAGAUGCGCGUAAUCCUCUCUCGCCGACCA